AGCGGGACGGGUACCGCCACGUGGCGACGAUGCGUAGGGGUUCUGAGAGGAAGGUCCCCCACACUGGUACUGAGACACGGACCAGACUCCUACGGAAGGCAGCAG
rnacentral:rRNA from 1 species